GUGGGGAAUAUUGGGCAAUGGGGGAAACCCUGACCCAGCGACGCCGCGUGAGGGAAGAAGGCCUUAGGGUCGUAAACCUCUGUUGUGUGGGAAGAAGAGCGUGACGGUACCACACGAGGAAGUCCCGGCUAACUACGUGCCAGCAGCCGCGGUAAUACGUAGGGGACGAGCGUUGUCCGGAUUUACUGGGCGUAAAGGGCGCGUAGGCGGUCAUUUAAGUCAGCUGUGAAAUGGUUUGGCUUAACCGGAUCAUGCGGUUGAAACUGGAUGACUGGAGUGCUGGAGAGGCAAGUGGAAUUCCCAGUGUAGCGGUGAAAUGCGUAGAUAUUGGGAAGAACACCGGUGGCGAAGGCGACUUGCUGGCCAGCAACUGACGCUGAGGCGCGAAAGCCAGGGGAGCAAACGGGAUUAGAAACCCUGGUAGUCC
rnacentral:rRNA from 1 species